AGAGUUUGAUCAUGGCUCAAGACGAACGCUAGCGGCGGGCUUAAUACAUGCAAGUUAGGGGGGCAGCAAUGCUCACCGGCGUACGGGUGCGUAACACGUAUAUAACAUACCCUUUAGGGGAGGAUACAUCAAAAAAAUUCGGGAUAAAACUCCGUAAGCUAACGUUAGGGCAUCCUAGUGUUAGGAAAAUUUCUAAAGGAUUGGUAUGCGUCUGAUUAGCUAGUUGGCGAGGUAACGGCUCACCAAGGCGACGAUCAGUAGCUGGUCUUAAAGGAUGAUCAGCCACACUGGCACUGAGACACGGGCCACACUCCUACGGGAGGCAGCAGUAGGGAAUAUUGGUCAAUGGACGCAAGUCUGAACCACCCACGCCGCGUGCAGGAAGAAGGUUCUUUGGAUCGUAAACUGCUUUUAUCAAGGGAUAAAGAGAGGCUAUACGCCUAAAUGAAGGUACUUGAUGAAUAAGCCACGGCUAACUACGUGCCAGCAGCCGCGGUAAUACGUAGGUGGCAAGCGUUGUCCGGAUUUACUGGGUUUAAAGGGUGCGUAGGCGGUUUAAUAAGUCAGUCGUUAAAGACACAAGCUUAACUUGGGCGUGGCGAUUGAUACUGUUAGACUUGAAUAAUUUGGAGGUAGCUGGAAUGCGUAGUGUAGCGGUGAAAUGCUCAUAUAUUACGCAGAACACCGAUUGCGGAGGCAGGUUACUACUAUUUUAUUGACGCUGACGCACGAAAGUGUGGGUAGCAACAGGAUUAGAUACCGCUGUAGUCCACACUGUAAACGAUGAUACUAGAUGUCGGCAGCACGCUGAGUGUCAGCGAAGCGAUAGUCAUCCACCUAGAGAGUACGACGGCAGGUCGAACUCAAGGAAUCGACGACGCCGACAGUGGUGAGACUUUGAUUAUCGAUGAUCGCAGACUACUAGCUAUGAAUGUGUGA
rnacentral:rRNA from 1 species